GUCCACGCCGUAACGAUGGAUACUAGCUGUUGGGCGCAAGUUCAGUGGCUAAGCGAAAGUGAUAAGUAUCCCACCUGGGGAGUACGUUCGCAAGAAUGAACUCAAAGGAAUUGACGGGCCCGCACAAGCGGUGGAGCAUGUGGUUUAAUUCGAUGAUACGCGAGGAACCUUACCAAGGCUUAAAAUGUAGAUUGACAGGACUGGAAACAGUUUUUCUUCGGACAAUUUACAAGGUGCUGCAUGGUUGUCGU
rnacentral:rRNA from 1 species